CAGGUUCGGUUCGAUGGCGGCCAUGAAACGUCACUCGCACGUGCACCGCCGGGAGGCGCAACAUGACGAAGACUGGACCGCAGCCGCGGACGGCGACGUGGAGUACCUCGAGCUGGAGACCCUCGACGACGCCAGUGACUACCAGUAGGCACCAAUGAGCCAAACGGAUAUAUCACCAAACUGUAAUACAAUAUCUACUUUAUGACGAAACUCGUCUGUAAAUGUGCAGUAAUUCUCAUUAAUCAUGCAUUGACAAAGAAUAUAUGCAGUUUAAUUAGACAAAGCCCUUUAACCCGUGAAAACAUCUCCUUUCGGAAUUUCCUUUGUCCACGCUGGCGAAAGGCCUGUUAAAGUAGGUACGAAUACACAUUAUUGUAGAGAAAUAAAUUGUAACUAAAUAUUUUUGAAAUAAAGUGUUAUGAUUC